GAUAUUGGACAAUGGGGGGAACCCUGAUCCAGCGACGCCGCGUGAGUGAAGAAGUAUUUCGGUAUGUAAAGCUCUAUCAGCAGGGAAGAAAGAAGACGGUACCUGACCAAGAAGCCCCGGCUAACUACGUGCCAGCAGCCGCGGUAAUACGUAGGGGGCAAGCGUUAUCCGGAUUUACUGGGUGUAAAGGGGGCGUAGACGGCAUAGCAAGUCUGAAGUGAAAGGCAUGGGCUCAACCCGUGGACUGCUUUGGAAACUGUUAAGCUGGAGUGCAGGAGAGGUAAGUGGAAUUCCUAGUGUAGCGGUGAAAUGCGUAGAUAUUAGGAGGAACACCAGUGGCGAAGGCGGCUUACUGGACUGUAACUGACGUUGAGGCUCGAAAGCGUGGGGAGCAAA
rnacentral:rRNA from 1 species